GAAGAACCUUACCUGGGCUUGACAUGCACGGAUCAACCGGGAUGAAAGUUCGGCCACACCCGCAAGGGCGGAACGUGCACAGGUGCUGCAUCGCUGUCGUCAGCUCGUGCUGUGAAGUGUCGGGUUAAGUCCCUUAACGAGCGCAACCCCUGUCGUUAGUUACUAACGGGUAAAGCCGAGGACUCUAGCGAGACUGCCGGUGUCAAACCGGAGGAAGGUGGGGAUGACGUCAAGUCCUCAUGGCCCUUACGUCCAGGGAUGCAAACGUGCUACAAUGGCGCGCACAAAGCGACCCAAGAUCGCGAGAUGGCGGAAAUCGCAAAAAACGCGCCCCAGUUCGGAUUGCAGGCUGCAAUUCGCCUGCAUGAAGUCGGAAUCGCUAGUAAUCGGAGAUCAGCUACGCUCCGGUGAAUAAGUUCCUGAGCCUUGUACACACCGCCCGUCACGUCAUGGGAGCCGGGAGUGCCCGAAGUCGCCACGUCUCAGUGGCGCCCACGGCAAGACCGGUGACUGGGACGAAGUCGUAACAAGGUAGCCGUAGGAGAACCUGCGGCUGGAUCACCUCCUUCUAGACUGCAGAA
rnacentral:rRNA from 1 species